rnacentral:rRNA from 1 species
AAACAUGGCUCUUUGGUUAACAUAAAGAGUCUGGCCUGCCCGGUGGUAUUUAUUAAACGGCUGCAGUACUCUGACUGUGCAAAGGUAGCAUAAUAAUUUGUCUUUUAAUUGGAGGCUGGUAUGAAAGGUUAGACGAAAGUAAAGCUGUCUCUUUUAUUUUGAUUAGAAAUUAUUUUUUAAGUUAAAAAGCUUAGAUACUAUUAAAGGACGAGAAGACCCUAUCGAGCUUAUAGAUAUUAGUUUAAACAAAAAUUAUUAUAAAAAUAUGUGUUUAAUUAAUUGUUUUUAGUUGGGGCAACUACGGGACAUUAAAAAUUCCCGCUAACUUAAAUUUGAAGAUGAUCCAGCAUUGCUGAAUAAUGACUUAGUUACCGUAGGGAUAACAGCGUAAUUUUUUUGGAGAGACCUUAUCGAUAAAAAAGAUUGCGACCUCGAUGUUGGAUUAGGAUAUACUUUAGGGUGCAGGAGCUUUAUAAAGUUAGUCUGUUCGACUAUUAAAUUUCUACGUGAUCUGA